GCGCAGAUAGGGUUGGGAGGAAAUGGAGAAGGGAAAUUAGACGCCGAGACGAGAAGAAACGAUGACGACAGAAUAAUCAACGGAAGCAGUGGGAAAUGGGAGGAGAAAAUGAUUAGGACGGAAGAGGAGAGGGUCGGGUAGGGAGGGAGGGUAAAACAGAGAGAUGGGGAGGGAGGCCGGAAGUAAUAGCUAAUACAGCGAUUUGGGAAGGGAUUGGAAAAC
rnacentral:lncRNA from 1 species